AGUGAGAAGUGAAGAUGAUUACAAAAAUAAAAUCUUAUAUUGAGUCUGCGCUCCACUUCUCAUUUAUAAUCUUAUGAUGAUAUAGCAGGAGAUUGCUAUGUUGCCCGGCAGAGGCUUUGUAUCUGGGCACUAGUCUCAACAGAUGACGACACUUCUGUUCAAUCUCAUAUCCUAUCCAUACUGGAUGUAAAACACGCAUGUGGCGCUGACUGGUGCGUUAACCAGUUUUUUAAAUAUAUAGCCCUUUCCAUCUGUUGAAAAUUGAGCAGGUGGUUUUU
rnacentral:sRNA from 1 species